GAUAGUGGCGAACGGGUGAGUAACACGUGGGCAAUCUGCCCUGCACUCUGGGACAAGCCCUGGAAACGGGGUCUAAUACCGGAUACUGACCUGCCAAGGCAUCUUGGCGGGUCGAAAGCUCCGGCGGUGCAGGAUGAGCCCGCGGCCUAUCAGCUUGUUGGUGAGGUAAUGGCUCACCAAGGCGACGACGGGUAGCCGGCCUGAGAGGGCGACCGGCCACACUGGGACUGAGACACGGCCCAGACUCCUACGGGAGGCAGCAGUGGGGAAUAUUGCACAAUGGGCGAAAGCCUGAUGCAGCGACGCCGCGUGAGGGAUGACGGCCUUCGGGUUGUAAACCUCUUUCAGCAGGGAAGAAGCGAAAGUGACGGUACCUGCAGAAGAAGCGCCGGCUAACUACGUGCCAGCAGCCGCGGUAAUACGUAGGGCGCAAGCGUUGUCCGGAAUUAUUGGGCGUAAAGAGCUCGUAGGCGGCUUGUCGCGUCGGUUGUGAAAGCCCGGGGCUUAACCCCGGGUCUGCAGUCGAUACGGGCAGGCUAGAGUUCGGUAGGGGAGAUCGGAAUUCCUGGUGUAGCGGUGAAAUGCGCAGAUAUCAGGAGGAACACCGGUGGCGAAGGCGGAUCUCUGGGCCGAUACUGACGCUGAGGAGCGAAAGCGUGGGGAGCGAACAGGAUUAGAUACCCUGGUAGUCCACGCCGUAAACGGUGGGCACUAGGUGUGGGCAACAUUCCACGUUGUCCGUGCCGCAGCUAACGCAUUAAGUGCCCCGCCUGGGGAGUACGGCCGCAAGGCUAAAACUCAAAGGAAUUGACGGGGGCCGCACAGCGGCGAGCAUGUGGCUUAUUCGACG
rnacentral:rRNA from 1 species